rnacentral:rRNA from 1 species
AUUGAACGCUGGCGGCAGGCCUAACACAUGCAAGUCGCGCGAGCGGCGGACGGGUGAGUAAUGUCUGGGAAACUGCCUGAUGGCGGGGGAUAACUCCUGGAAACGGUAGCUAAUACCGCAUACCAUCGGAUGUGCCCAGAUGGGAUUGGCUAGUAGGUGGGGUAACGGCUCACCUAGGCGACGAUCCCUAGCUGGUCUGAGAGGCUGACCAGCCACACUGGAACUGAGACACGGUCCAGGCUCCUACGGGAGGCAGCAGUGGGGAAUAUUGCACAAUGGGCGAAAGCCUGAUGCAGCGGUGCCGCGUGUGUGAAGAAGGCCUUCGGGUUGUAAAGUACUUUCAGCGGGGAUGCGUUACCCGCAGAAGAAGCACCGGCUAACUCCGUGCCAGCAGCCGCGGUAAUAC